rnacentral:rRNA from 1 species
GACGAACGCUGGCGGCGUGCCUAAUACAUGCAAGUCGAACGCAGUGGGGACGGGUGAGUAACACGUGGGUAACCUGCCAGCAGAGUGGAUAACACUUGGAAACUGGUGCUAAACCGCUACUGAUGGAUGGACCCGCGGUGCAUUAGCUAGUUGUUGGGGUAACGGCUCACCAAGGCCACGAUGCAUAGCCGACCUGAGAGGGUGAUCGGCCACACUGGGACUGAGACACGGCCCAGACUCCUACGGGAGGCAGCAGUAGGGAAUCUUGGGCAAUGGACGAAAGUCUGACCGAGCCACGCCGCGUGAGUGAAGAAGGUUUUCGGAUCGUAAAACUCUGUUGUUAGAGAAGCGGUAUCUAAACAAGAAGCCCCGGCUAACUACGUGCCAGCAGCCGCGGUAAUUC